rnacentral:rRNA from 1 species
GACGAACGCUGGCGGCAGGCUUAACACAUGCAAGUCGAGCGCCCCGCAAGGGGAGCGGCAGACGGGUGAGUAACGCGUGGGAAUCUACCCAUCUCUACGGAAUAACGCAUGGAAACGUGUGCUAAUACCGUAUACGUCCUUCGGGAGAAAGAUUUAUCGGAGAUGGAUGAGCCCGCGUUGGAUUAGCUAGUUGGUGGGGUAAAGGCCUACCAAGGCGACGAUCCAUAGCUGGUCUGAGAGGAUGAUCAGUCACACUGGGACUGAGACACGGCCCAGACUCCUACGGGAGGCAGCAGUGGGGAAUAUUGGACAAUGGGCGCAAGCCUGAUCCAGCCAUGCCGCGUGAGUGAUGAAGGCCCUAGGGUUGUAAAGCUCUUUCACCGGUGAAGAUAAUGACGGUAACCGGAGAAGAAGCCCCGGCUAACUUCGUGCCAGCAGCCGCCGUAAAAC